GUCAGGAUAUUCUUCAGCAUUUGUGAAAUUAUUGUGGUUGGGGAGGAUGACAGAAGCUGUAAAGCUUGUUAAGAUGACGGAAAAGCGAUUUUGUUAGUGGAUUUCCUACCCUCUGGCUGGGAAAACGUGAGUCUUGGAUUGCUGGACAUUCCAAUUGAGUUGAUAACCAAUGACAAAGACUUUCAGUUUGAGGAAUUCCCACUCUCCAAUUACUGUACACUCAGAAAAAAAGAUGCUAACUAGAACCUAAAAGGGUUCUUUUGGCUGUCCUCGUAGAACCCAUUGAAGAAUCCUUUUUGGUUCCAGGUAGAAACUUUUUAAUAGAACCCCUUUGGGUUCAAAGUAGAACCCUUUCCAGAGGGCUCUACAUGGAACCCAAAAAGGGCUCUCCUAUGGGGACAGCCGAAGAACCCUUUUGGAACCCUUUUUUCUAAGAGUGUCGUUAUCCGUAUAGGAUCUCCAUUAUGUUUAUUUCUGUAUGUAACUACAGAACAAAAUGUGAUGUACCCUCUCACCGGGUAGCUUCCCUGUCCUUGAAUGGGUUUUGUGUAUAUUAGAAUUGUAUGAUGCUUCUGGAGAGUCCUCUUUUCCCCCCGAGUGUAGGGUUUAGAAUGCAGUAUGGGGCCAUGAUGAAGGGUUUUGACCAAGUAUUAGUCUGUGAGGAAGGUUGGGGUCAGGAACUAAGCACAAUGUGUGAGUAGCCUACGCGCAACAUGUAGUCUAUGAGAUCUGUUUCCAGGAAUUGUCUAUUUCCCAGCAUUAAGGGCCCAGCGCCUCAACCUCUCUCUCUCCCCCUCUUGAAAAUGACGGUCCCCACUGUCGCCCAUGAUGAGCCAGUCAACGCUUGCCUGAGAGAUGAAUCAAGCACUAGAUCAAAAGACUACAAAUGUUUGGUCUUCCCCCCCGGCUCAGUGUAGCAAUGAGGACUGACUGAAGACAGAAGGAAAAACUAAUGUCUAUCUUUCCCCUUUUAUUAUGCUGUCGUGAAUGACACUGAAAGCACUGAAUUGCAUUCAGUUUCAGAAACAAAGAAAUUUGUUGGCUUAUGUAUUGUAUUUCUGCUCUUACUCUGGUCAUAAGACGUACUGGACUUUGUACUGUCUGUGAGAGGGGUGUGGGUCUUAGUCAAAGCAUAGCCUCUUCCCUCACACAAUGUACUGUAUAUAAUUAUAUUUUGCAAUUAAAUAUGUUAAAGCCAAA
ensembl:lncRNA